UACGUAGGGUGCGAGCGUUGUCCGGAUUCAUUGGGCGUAAAGAGCUCGUAGGCGGCUUGGCAAGUCGGAUGUGAAAACUCCAGGCUCAACCUGGAGCCGCCAUUCGAUACUGCUAUGGCUAGAGUCCGGUAGGGGAGUGUGGAAUUCCCGGUGUAGCGGUGAAAUGCGCAGAUAUCGGGAGGAACACCGAUGGCGAAGGCAGCACUCUGGGCCGGCACUGACGCUGAGGAGCGAAAGCGUGGGGAGCGAACAGG
rnacentral:rRNA from 1 species